rnacentral:tRNA from 1 species
GCUAGGUUGGCCGAGCGGUCUAAGGCGCCAGAUUUAAGUUCUGGUUCCCGCGAGGGAUCGUGGGUUCGAAUCCCACACUUAGCA